rnacentral:sRNA from 1 species
GCUGGGCACGGUGGCACAUGCCUGUAAUCCCAGCAGCUCAGGAGGCUGAGACAGGAAGAUCAUGGGUUCAAAGCCAGCCUCAGCAACAGUGAGGUCUCACUAAGCAACUCAGUGAGACCCUGUCUCUA